GACGAACGCUGGCGGCGUGCUUAACACAUGCAAGUCGAACGGAAAGGCCCUGCUUUUGUGGGGUGCUCGAGUGGCGAACGGGUGAGUAACACGUGAGUAACCUGCCCUUGACUUUGGGAUAACUUCAGGAAACUGGGGCUAAUACCGGAUAGGAGCUCCUGCUGCAUGGUGGGGGUUGGAAAGUUUCGGCGGUUGGGGAUGGACUCGCGGCUUAUCAGCUUGUUGGUGGGGUAGUGGCUUACCAAGGCUUUGACGGGUAGCCGGCCUGAGAGGGUGACCGGCCACAUUGGGACUGAGAGACGGCCCAGACACCUACGGGAGGCAGCAGUGGGGAAUAUUGCACAAUGAGCGGAAGCCUGAUGCAGCAACGCCGCGUGCGGGAUGAAGGCCUUCGGGUUGUAAACCGCUUUCGCCUGUGACGAAGCGUGAGUGACGGUAAUGGGUAAAGAAGCACCGGCUAACUACGUG
rnacentral:rRNA from 1 species